UACGUAGGGCGCAAGCGUUGUCCGGAAUUAUUGGGCGUAAAGAGCUCGUAGGCGGCUUAGCAAGUCGGGUGUGAAAACUCCAGGCUCAACCUGGAGACGCCACUCGAGACUGCUAUGGCUAGAGUCCGGUAGGGGACCACGGAAUUCCUGGUGUAGCGGUGAAAUGCGCAGAUAUCAGGAGGAACACCGGUGGCGAAGGCGGUGGUCUGGGCCGGCACUGACGCUGAGGAGCGAAAGCGUGGGGAGCAAACAGG
rnacentral:rRNA from 1 species